GGGUCAUUAAAAUUACUGAGCUACUAGUCUUUUAGUGGAGUUGCAUCAUAGGCAUGUUUGACCCAUACAGAUUAAUAUAAAUAUACAUGGUUUAAAAAGAGAAAAAAGGAAUGCAGGUGUUUCUGCCACUUUGUGUAGUGUGGGAAGUGCUCUUCUCUCAGUUCCUUUCAGUGGCCUGAUCUCAGAUUUGGAUUGUGCUGUGCAUAAUUAUUUACAUUAGGCUUUGAAUGGUAGCUUAUCUAGAACACUAUUACUUUGUAAGUCUGUGUUAUCUUUGUAAGUGACAAAUACAUU
rnacentral:lncRNA from 1 species